UACGGGGGGGGCAAGCGUUGUUCGGAAUUACUGGCGUAAAGGGCUCGUAGGUGGCCAACUAAGUCAGACGUGAAAUCCCUCGGCUUAACCGGGGAACUGCGUCUGAUACUGGAUGGCUUGAGUGUGGGAGAGGGAUGCGGAAUUCCAGGUGUAGCGGUGAAAUGCGUAGAUAUCUGGAGGAACACCGGUGGCGAAGGCGGCAUCCUGGACCAUUACUGACACUGAAUAGCGAAAGCCAGGGAGCAAACGGG
rnacentral:rRNA from 1 species